CCUUUCUACCCCCAAAAAUACAAUUUUCCAAUUCCCACUAAUUUCUUCUACUUCCCUCUUCGUUAUUUUUCAAAUUUUCAUCUUCCCUCCCUUUCCCAUGGCCCUAACUUGAUUCCCAUCAGAUCCCUUUACAGCACUUGAAGAGAAAAGCAGUAGCCGCCACUAAGGGAUUUUAGUUGACCCGACCACCAUCGCUGCACCCUAAUGACCGUUGACCACCCUUCUUUUCCUCUAAUCUAUUGGCAUCGAAGUUGUUUGUAGAAUGGGAGAUGAAUGAGCCCGGGGCUAAGCAUCCUAAAUUCACCAUGUUGGUUCAAUCGAGACUCUUAGUUUUACCCGGUCAUUUUCUUUAUACGACCCACAAUUUGCAGGUGACCAAAAUUAACAACUUUAUGAUUUAAGAAUUUGAUGGAACUGCAAAACGGUUUGGUGCAUAAAGAAGGUAGUACAGUUUCAUCACAUUGCUACUUAUUAUUGUGACUCUAUGCUUAAGGUAAAUAAACUAAAAUGUAGAUUAGUGUGACUCUAUGCAUUUCUGUUCUGGGAAUACAACCUAUUAGAAUAUUAGACUAUAUAUAGUGGAAUAACAAAAAAUUGUAAGAGUUUAUGUAAUUUCAUUGCCACGUAGGCAGCGAGGCUUUAACUAACUAAACCCUCAAAAGUGUAUAGUGAUUUUACUAAAAAUUAAAUAAAGAAAAAAAAAUAGUGAUUGAAAUACUUGUGGACCCCAUCACCUCUAUCUCCUUCACACCGGUUAUUCCAUGAACCCCUUACCCCACCCCUUUGGCGACCCCUAAGACUAGCUGUUGUGGAAGCGAGCACCUCCGACGCGAGCCACGCUGGCAGGUGAGCGGUCGCGCACACCGCAACACCCCGGCGCGAGCGCUAGCGUGAGGAUGGUAGUAGAUGGAAUGUGGUCGUUGUGCAUUGGGGGAACCACCAAAUAGCCGUUAGACAUUUAAAAAAAAUCGAAUUUUGGUAUUUUUCCCUUAUUUAAACCCUCUAAACCUUUAUAAAAAUACCCACCAUCUCUCUUUCUUUCUGAAGCCAUUGCUCACCGACCACAACAGGGUGAUGAAGCUUCAACAAUAGCUUUAACCAGUGUCCAGUCAACGCCAGGUGGAGCGAUAUUACAGGAUGAAUCCUGGUGCUCACUUGAACCACAAUGGGUAGUCUAAUAGCGGACCAGCGCGGUAUUUGGCGCCAUUCGCUGCUGACAUGGUGGGGUGCUAAUCCAUACACAUGGUCUUGUCUCAAACAUAACUGUUAAGUUAUCUAUUUAAAAAAAGUUGAAAAAAUCUGAACAAAGUCGGCACUUUUCUACCAAGUACUCUGGAGCCAUACAUCGAUAAAAAAGGUAGUUGACAUUAAUAAAAAAAAGGUAGUUGAUGUUUGAACCUCGUCAUACAUGAUUUCGAAGGGACUUAUGGGAUCUCCAAACUCACAAGCAUAUACCAUACUGAGAGGGACUCCAAUUUUAGCUUAUAUGUUACUUAAUGUGUGGUAUCUUUACUAUCUGAUGCGUUCUAUUUGUUUAACCUAUGAGCGCUAGAGCUUGGCUGGUUGAAGUUUUUCAAGCUUGGCCUAUUUUUUAAACAAACUUAUUCUUAGGCUCUUCAGAGAGAUGUUAACCAUUGGCACAUAGAAGAGGAAAUAAAUAAAGGUGGUUUCCGUCACUUUCAUGAUUCAUGUACGGAUUUUGGUAUGAUUUUGGACCCUGAUUUUGAAAGGAAUAAUUUUCAUUGUCUAGUGAAGGUAAAUUUCUUUUUUUCUUUUAUUUUAAAGCCAAAACUUUCAUGUAUUAUGUAAGUCUGAAUGUCUAAAUUAUAGUUUAUUUUGUAGAUACAUGACACACCAGUAUCUGACUUGAAGCUAUGAUGUGUACUUUAGCGAACAAAACUAUAUCUCGCACCAAUUAUUAACAAAAGUUCAAAUUUUUGGGCAAAAAUGUUUGUAGUCAACUUGACCGGGCCGACUUCAAUCUGUGUAGUCAUAUCUUUUAAAGAUGCUACCAGGUUACUAAUUCUCUUUUUAUUUUAUUAAUGUGUGUUCAAUUUACUUCAGUUUUGUUCCAAAUUAGAAGAGAAGUAGCAAGCACCAGAGGCGGAGAAAAUUAAAUGAGAGGCGAGAACUAUGGUCUAUGGUAUUGGUUCUACGGUCUCUAAAAACCCUUUAUCAGUUGACCAUAUAUCAUUUGAAAGAAGCCAAUGACAAUGGUAUCUACUAGUAUCAUUGCUACGAAAGAGUUAAUAUGAAGAUCAUUUUAUUUGCAUGAACAUUGUGAAAGAGAUUCAUGAUUGCAAUGAAGCUUCAAGUUUUUUAUUCAAACAUGUGUUAGUUUGUAUUCUAUAUGUUUGAUAUUUAGACUUAAAUUGACACUUAUGAGACGUUUCAAUAUGUUUGGAACAUGAACUAACUUUUAAUUGAAGUGAUGAUAUUACAAUUUCU